rnacentral:rRNA from 1 species
UACGUAGGGCGCAAGCGUUGUCCGGAAUUAUUGGGCGUAAAGAGCGUGUAGGCGGCCAGAUAGGUCAGCUGUGAAAACUCGGGGCUCAACCCUGAGACGUCGGUUGAAACCAUCUGGCUAGAGUCCGGAAGAGGAGUGUGGAAUUCCCGGUGUAGCGGUGAAAUGCGCAGAUAUCAGGAAGAACACCCGUGGCUAAGGCGGCUCUCUAGUACGGUACUGACGCUGAGACGCGAAAGCGUGGGGAGCGAACAGG